rnacentral:rRNA from 1 species
CCAAUAGCGUAUAUUAAAGUUGUUGCAGUUAAAAAGCUCGUAGUUGAAUUUCGGGAUCAAUACGUCGGUCGUGCCUCUGGUAUGUACUGGUGUUAUUGAUUUCUCCCUUCUGAUGAACCAUGAUGUCAUUAAUUUGGUGUUGUGGGGAGUCAGGACUGUUACUUUGAAAAAAUUAGAGUGUUUAAAGCAGGCAUACGCUUGAAUACAUUAGCAUGGAAUAAUGAAAUAGGACGUUCGAACCUAUUUUGUUGGUUUCUAGGAUCAACGUAAUGAUUAAUAGGGAUAGUUGGGGGCAUUAGUAUUCAAUUGUCAGAGGUGAAAUUCUUGGAUUUAUUGAAGACUAACUACUGCGAAAGCAUUUGCCAAGGAUGUUUUCAUUAAUCAAGAACGAAAGUUAGGGGAUCGAAGACGAUCAGAUACCGUCGUAGUCUUAACCAUAAACUAUGCCGACUAGGGAUCGGAUGAUGUUAAUUUUUUAAUGACUCAUUCGGCGCCUUACG